GGGCGGAAGGGUCCUGGAAGGUCACAGAGAUGUGGGGUGGUUGGGGCGGAAGGGUCCUGGAAGGUCACAGCAAUACGGGGUGGUGGGGCUGGAAGGGUCCUGGAAGGUCAUCACUGAAUGGGUUUUAUUGGAAGGGUCCUGGAAGGUCAUCACUGAGUGGAUGGGAUUGGAAAGGUCCUGGAAGGUCAUCACUAAACGGGUUGGACUGGAAGGGUCCUGGAAGGUCAUUACUGAAUGGAUGGGAUUGGAAAGGUCCUGGAAGGUCAUCACUGAAUGGAUGGGGUUGGAAAGGUCCUGGAAGGUCAUCACUGAAUGGAUGGGGUUGGAAAGGUCCUGGAAGGUCAUCACUGAACGGGUUGGACUGGAAGGGUCCUGGAAGGUCAUUACUGAAUGGAUGGGGUUGGAAAGGUCCUGGAAGGUCAUCACUGAAUGGAUGGGGUUGGAAAGGUCCUGGAAGGUCAUCACUGAACAGAUUUAAUUAGAAGGGUCCUGGAAGGUCAUGACUGAAUGAAUGGGAUUGGAAAG
ensembl:lncRNA